rnacentral:sRNA from 1 species
CUCUUAUUUUGUCAAAUCUUCUCCGCAUCUUGCAGGAAACGCCAAGUACAAACAGUCUUUGUCAAAUUUGCUCUUAUUUUGGUCUUGUGUGGUUCACGCUUUGAUUUAAAUCGUUUUGGGUGACACGCACGGUCAAAAAUAUUUUGAGGAUGAAUAGAAAAUUUGGUGGUGGAAGGCCGCCGACAGGGACUCCUUCACUGGCUUGGUCCUGUGUGGUUAUUGUCUUCUCUCUUCUUGCCGGUGCUUCCGUUGUUCACAAUAUCUAUAAGCCUAAUCUUACAUUGCCUCCGGUCGAUGGAGUUGAUAGGACGAAGCAGAAAACUGAUGAGAAAGAAUGAUCAUCUUCCCCAGAAUUCCUUUUAAAUUCGUGAGAUACCAAUCUCUGGAGCUUAAAGUUAAUAAUCAUCAGUAGUCUGAUAUACAAAAGUACAAAGGAUUCAGUUUGGAUGAGAAUAUUAUUUCAUUUAUAAAUUCCUUUGGAGUUUUCUUUGUACGAGUAUGUUUUAAACUUUUGAUGGAUGUAUGGUUGCAACAUUUUUGGCGGACUAAUUUGGUGGUCAAAAAUAUUUAGAAAACUGAUACAGUGGUGUUCUAUAGUAAUGUUUUAAUGCUGUUUUAAUUUGGUGAGUAGGGUCAUCAAAAGACCAAUUUUAGAAUUUACUACAUUUAUUAAAUAUAUAUUGGCUUUGCUGUU